CAGAGGACAGAGCCUGCUCCUUGGCAGCUCAAUCUCCCUGAGGGGCGGGCGGCGCCUUAGGAACUGGAAUUAUUUAGCAGCUGACACAUUCAAGUCACUCCAAGGAAUCUCCCACCCUGCACAGAAGUCUGAUCCAAUUUGCUGGGCCGCCCUCCUGAGACCCUCUGUUUCCAGAUGCACAUCCAAGCCAUAUUUUAGGUCAAAGUGGAAAACCGGAAACUCAGAGAGAAGGAACUCUCCCUAGGCCUCUGGACAGCAAGCUGCAGACAUGAGCUGUGUGAUGAAAUCUCUGAGUUGGAAGAUGUCACCAAGCCCUCCUGCCCAGUAUAAAAUAUCAAGUUGAUGAGGACCAACCAUCUCAUCAGAUUGCUAUGUUGAAAUUUCGGGCAUUGUGUCAAUGUGUUUUUAAAAAAAGGACAGAUAUUUAAAAAAUAAAAGCAAUGAAAAAUGAUGGAUUACCUGAGGUCAUCUUAAGCCAGCAGAGUUUAGCUAAUCUUAAAAAAAACACAAAAAACACCUGACUCUGUCCUUUGCUGUUGAAGAGGCAUUUGAGCCCCUCUUCAAUCUGUUCAUUUUGACCUGCUUUUUGCAUAUUUUUGCAUAUAUUUCCUCACCUCUCUGACUGAAGUGAGCACCAAGGCAUAUUCUGAUGAUAGUAGAUGGAUAAAUGCCCAACCAAUCAGAAUCAAAACUUCUUGCAUAAAAGUCCAUUGAAAAAACUUUGUAAUGUAUGGACUUCAUUUUAAAAGGGGAUAUAUACAUAAGACACACAAAUUCACACACACCAUCAGGGAACACAACAACUACAAUUGGAGUAGAGCAUCUAAAAAGAAUUUCUUUACAUGGAAGGAGAUUCCUUUAGGGUCAGCUAAAAUUUUACAAACAACAUAUAUACAUUUGGUACACAUUCUGGUAUUUCCUUGAAAUUUGGGGCCUUUGAACAUAUUUGGUGUGAGUUGAGAUUUUUUUUUCUUUCACAAAACACAUGCAUGGUUUAAUGACUGAUCAUUGGCAGCCACACCUAAGUCAAAACAUAGAUCUUUCUUUGUCAGAGCCCUAGGAAGUUCUACUCAUGUGCUCAAUCCAUAUCUCAAAUACAUCCAUCCUCCCCAAAUUAACUACUUUCCUAGCUUUUACAGUAAUAAUCACUCUUUCACAGGUCUAUCAAAUAAGUGUGCAUUCCUAAGCAUCAUCGUCUGGUUUUGCCCAUUUUGUUAAAUCUCAUACGUGUUUAAGUCUCUUUAAUCCACAGGCUUCUCAACUAUCCUUGUGUUUUGUCUUAUAGUUUAUUUGUUCAAGGACUUGGGACAAUUGAUCUGCCGACUUCCCCCAGUCCAGAUGUGACAGACUGGCCCGGUCCAGUUCAGUAUGCACACUGGGGAUACUGAGUCACAGCAGGCUGGGAGGUGCAGUCCCCAGUCCCAAACCGAUCACAGGCCAGAGGCCCCAGGGAC
ensembl:lncRNA